ACCGUCGGGUACCGGGCGUCUGGCCCGACUGAGGCCCAGGCUCGGGUAGCAUAAAAAGCCUUAUCGAGUUCGACCCGGCCUGGAACUAUAACGGGCCGGGCUCGAGCUUUAAACUCUACCCGUCGAGGGCCCGAGAAGCCCGACGUCCAUCAAAACCGAUUUUUAUUUUUUAUUAGGUUAGGGUUACACAAUGUUUCAACUUCAUUUUCGAUUGAACAAGCAUAGCGACGUAGUGUCGAUGACUCGAAGCUCCUCUGCGGCUCUGCCUCCUCCGCUCCUCGCUAUCGGCAUCCUGCCUUGCCCAGUCGCCAACUGGCCGUCAACAACUCGCUAAUUGCCAUCAGCGCCGCCGCAUCGCUCACCACCAUUGCUGCUUCUCCAAUCUCCAUCGUUGUCGCCGGACCGCAUGCUAUUUCUGCUCAAACCAUCGCAGAAAUGUCCAAAAUCUACAGUGACAGCUUGUUCCUGGUGGUUCGCUAGAAUGAAGAAGACACUUUUUUAGGGCAAGUUGGUUUCUAGAUUCAGCAUAUGCAACUCAACACAUCACUUGUCAGAUGCUUAUUUUACUUGUAAUUUCCUUGAGGAGGCUAUUCAGAUUUGUUAGUGAACCAUGUGGGAACACUGAUUUUCUUUUUGUUUAUAGACCUGAAAAGGGGUUGUUCAUUGUUGAUUAGCUUUACUGACAGGAAUGUAUUUCGUGCCAAAGUUCCUUGUUGAUCAGAUUUAGCUUGUAAUUUUCGACUGAGCUCA